AUAAAUUGCUCCUGAUUCACUAUGCUUUGUUGAAGGAUAAUAUCAAAACUUUUGAUGGAACUAAGAAAGCUGUGAACAACAUCGUUCAGGGUACACUAUCUUGGCUGGAUACUGAGAAGGAUGGAAAUGUCAAGACUCAGGACUUGUCAGGUGACAUAAAUGACCAAGGAUUCAAGGAUUCAAAGAUAAGAGCCAUGAAGUUGACUAUACAUAUUCUGAAAG